ACAGCAGCAGCCGCGGUAAUACGUAGGUGGCAAGCGUUGUCCGGAAUUAUUGGGCGUAAAGGGCUCGCAGGCGGUUUCUUAAGUCUGAUGUGAAAGCCCCCGGCUCAACCGGGGAGGGUCAUUGGAAACUGGGAAACUUGAGUGCAGAAGAGGAGAGUGGAAUUCCACGUGUAGCGGUGAAAUGCGUAGAGAUGUGGAGGAACACCAGUGGCGAAGGCGACUCUCUGGUCUGUAACUGACGCUGAGGAGCGAAAGCGUGGGGAGCGAACAGGAUUAGAUACCCGAGUAGUCCCUGUCUCUUAUAA
rnacentral:rRNA from 1 species